rnacentral:rRNA from 1 species
GAUGAACGCUGGCGGCGUGCCUAAUACAUGCAAGUCGAGCGAACGGACGAGAAGCUUGCUUCUCUGAUGUUAGCGGCGGACGGGUGAGUAACACAUGGAUAACCUACCUAUAAGACUGGGAUAACUUCGGGAAACCGGAGCUAAUACCGGAUAAUAUUUUGAACCGCAUGGUUCAAAAGUGAAAGACGGUCCUGCUGUCACUUAUAGAUGGAUCCGCGCUGCAUUAGCUAGUUGGUAAGGUAACGGCUUACCAAGGCAACGAUGCAUAGCCGACCUGAGAGGGUGAUCGGCCACACUGGAACUGAGACACGGUCCAGACUCCUACGGGAGGCAGCAGUAGGGAAUCUUCCGCAAUGGGCGAAAGCCUGACGGAGCAACGCCGCGUGAGUGAUGAAGGUCUUCGGAUCGUAAAACUCUGUUAUUAGGGAAGAACAUAUGUGUAAGUAACUGUGCACAUCUUGACGGUACCUAAUCAGAAAGCCACGGCUAACUACGUG